rnacentral:tRNA from 1 species
GGGCGCAUAGCUCAGUUGGCAGAGCACCAGCUCGACAAGCUGGGGGUCGCAGGUUCGAGCCCUGCUGCGCCCACCA